UCGAGCGAGUCUGCCUUGAAGAUCGGAGUGCUUGCACUCUGUGAAACAAGAUACAGGCUAGCGGCGGACGGGUGAGUAACACGUGGGUAACCUGCCCAAGAGAUCGGGAUAACACCUGGAAACAGAUGCUAAUACCGGAUAACAACAGAUGAUGCCUAUCAACUGUUUAAAAGAUGGUUCUGCUAUCACUCUUGGAUGGACCUGCGGUGCAUUAGCUAGUUGGUAGGGUAACGGCCUACCAAGGCGAUGAUGCAUAGCCGAGUUGAGAGACUGAUCGGCCACAUUGGGACUGAGACACGGCCCAAACUCCUACGGGAGGCAGCAGUAGGGAAUCUUCCACAAUGGACGCAAGUCUGAUGGAGCAACGCCGCGUGAGUGAAGAAGGGUUUCGGCUCGUAAAGCUCUGUUGUUGGUGAAGAAGGACAGGGGUAGUAACUGACCUUUGUUUGACGGUAAUCAAUUAGAAAGUCACGGCUAACUACGUGCCAGCAGCCGCGGUAAUACGUAGGUGGCAAGCGUUGUCCGGAUUUAUUGGGCGUAAAGCGAGUGCAGGCGGCUCGAUAAGUCUGAUGUGAAAGCCUUCGGCUCAACCGGAGAAUUGCAUCAGAAACUGUCGAGCUUGAGUACAGAAGAGGAGAGUGGAACUCCAUGUGUAGCGGUGAAAUGCGUAGAUAUAUGGAAGAACACCGGUGGCGAAGGCGGCUCUCUGGUCUGUUACUGACGCUGAGGCUCGAAAGCAUGGGU
rnacentral:rRNA from 1 species